GUGAAUUCCAUUUUUAUGGUUUGUCAUCAUGAACAUUUCAACGUGUUUCUUAGGAAAGAGCACUUCUUUGUGGAAUCGUGUUAUACAGGAAUAAGUGUAAAUUAGCAACUAUUUGUUUCGCUCAUUUCGCCUGGGGGACAUUUAAUUCGUUGGAGUUUUAUUGUUGGACAUUUAAAAUUCAUUCAACUACGCGACAAACAAUAGAACUCCAAUAAAUUCUUUAAUUAUUUAAAUGUCCGACAAUAGAACUCCAACGAUUUUAAAUUUCCGACAAUCCAUCUACAGUCAAACAGUAAUGGUGGAGGAAUCUUUUGGCUCCGUCAGUAGGUGGCUAAAACGUAGUUGUCCCCCAGCCACCAGGUGACGCGAGUGUCGUCGAGAGGACGAAUUUUCGCCAUUUUUUUCCGAAACGCUAAGUGAAAAGGUAUUCCAAAUUCGUUACGGAAUUGCGUUGUCGAUCUACAUUUUCAGCAUUAAAAUUUAAUGGGCAAUCUCAUAUAAUUUCCACUUGGCCAAAUAAUCGAUCACGUGGACUGAAACUGCUUAGUGCUUUCCAUUUUGCCGAAAUGUCCGUUGUUUAGCUGUACCUGUUUUGAUGUACUCUCAUCUCACGUAAAAACACUACAGAGGACCAGAGAUUUUAAUAGUUGGUGUUCAGGUUGGAGCUCCUGUUGCAGAAUGUGAGAACUCAACACAUUCUGGGCUCCAUGGCUUCAUGGCCAUGGCCACAUGGUUUUGUUGCAGCCAGCUGGUGAAAGGCGUGAUUGAGUCAAGUUGAGCUGCAGCUGCUGCAUGCAGUUUUUCGAGCUGGUGUUAUCCUGAAGUGUCAUUGCAGGAAGACUUUUUGAAAUGGACUUGGUGAAACUAUGCUGUUCAAUGUGCAGUGGUUUUGCAGCCUAUUUCCAGUUGAGAGAUGUGAUUAUGCAGCUGAUACACGAUUGAAGAAAAAGAACUGAAGUAGCUGUGCUGGUGUUCUCCUGAAAUUGCUGUGCCAUAGGAGUUGCAGAUACUGUUGGUUCCUCAUAGAAGUUUAUUUAAAGAGUCUGGAGAUGAUCAGUCACUGCCUAUAACUUAUGUAAAACCUCAUUGAAAUAAAUAUAAAAGUGAAGUGCUAAA